GGGCUCUGCUCAGGGAGAGAGGAAGGUCUAAGCCAGGGCUCACCUCUGACCCCCCCAUCUGCCCUUUCCCCUCCCCAUCUCCAGGACACCCUAGAGCUCAGGACAGAGUCUGAAACAGGCCCCAAACCUAGUGCCCAUCAGUCCAGCGGGCCCCCGCUGGACACGGUCCCCUCCUCACACCCGGACCAUCCUUGGGCCCUGGCAGGGCCGUACCCUGCCUCGUGGGGGCACUGUUCCUCAGCAAGCCCGGGGGCACAAAAGUGUCACAGGAAUUGGACACAAAGGGCCCUUCCCGUGAGGACCAGAGUCUCCUCUCAGCACAAGAGGGGCCGAUGGAAAAAGCUGCAGGUGACGUGCUGCUGAAGGAGCACCCCUGCCCCAGUCUGAGAAAUGGGGUGAUUCCCGGGACUCCAGAACCGAGGCCAACAUGGAGCCCCGAAGAUCUGGUCAGUGCUCAGCCUUGCUCAGAAUUAGAGAACGCAAAUUAGAACUCCACUGAGAUACCACUUCUCACCUACCAGAAUGGCAAAAAUAUGCCAAAAAUAAACAGCGCCCCUUAGGGGGGGCUCUGGAGAAACAGGGGAGGUGGUCUGAUAAGUGACAGGUCUACCUCCUCCAACACCAACAGCUAUGUGCCUAGCACACAGCAGGUGCUCAGUGCUGAAGGAGCCCUAGGCGCUGGGAUCACCAGCAAUCACAGAUCCUUCUCUUAGGAACCUACAAUCCAGUGGGGAGGAAAGCACAGGCAUACAGGCGUUCAUUAGCUAUGUGACCUUGACAGCACGGCUGGGAACACCGAGAGAGCAUCUACGCGUUGUAAGCGGUCGUGAGCACUAAGUGAGAGAACACGUUCGGAGGGUUCAGCACAGUGUCUGGGACACAACAUGUGACAGCUGCGAUCGUUACGCCCCUGGGCUGACGGGCCCAGCUCCACCCGACGCUUCCUCUUGGGACGGGGACACAGCCCCACCCUGGCCCCCAGGCCCGGCCACCCCUCCAGUAGCACCUCUCCCUUCACUGGAAAUACUAACAGCUCCUGCCUCUGUUUCCUAACCACCCACGUCUCCUCCUCGUGUGCAAUGGCUCCCACCCCUAUACACAGCUCCGGUCU